UGCCCAGAACAGGUGGCCCAGCCUGGUA
rnacentral:piRNA from 1 species